UACGUAGGGUGCGAGCGUUAAUCGGAAUUACUGGGCGUAAAGCGUGCGCAGGCGGCGCGUUAAGACAGGUGUGAAAGCCCCGAGCUUAACUUGGGAAUUGCGCUUGUGACUGGCGUGCUGGAGUGUGGCAGAGGGAGGUGGAAUUCCACGUGUAGCAGUGAAAUGCGUAGAGAUCUGGAGGAACACCGAUGGCGAAGGCAGCCUUCUGGGCCAACACUGACGCUCAUGCACGAAAGCGUGGGGAGCAAACAGG
rnacentral:rRNA from 1 species